AAGACCUUGCGCUUUUGGAGCGGCCGAUGUCUGAUUAGCUAGUUGGUGGGGUAAUGGCCUACCAAAGCUUCGAUCAGUAGCUGGUCUGAGAGGACGGCCAGCCACACUGGGACUGAGACACGGCCCAGACUCCUACGGGAGGCAGCAGUGGGGAACUUUGGACAAUGGGCGCAAGCCUGAUCCAGCCAUGCCGCGUGAGUGAAGAAGGCCUUCGGGUUGUAAAGCUCUUUCAGCCGGGAAGAAAAGGCUGCGACUAAUAAUCGCAGUUCAUGACGGUACCGGAAGAAGAAGCACCGGCUAACUACGUGCCAGCAGCCGCGGUAAUACGUAGGGUGCGAGCGUUAAUCGGAAUUACUGGGCGUAAAGGGUGCGCAGGCGGUUUUGUAAGUCAGAUGUGAAAUCCCCGGGCUUAACCUGGGAACU
rnacentral:rRNA from 1 species